rnacentral:tRNA from 1 species
GCCCGUGGAGGCAGUGGAGAGCGCCAGCAGGGUUUCCUAAACCUCGUGCCGGAGGUUCGAGUCCUCCCGGGGGCA